AUUAGAAAAACAUAGGAAGAUUACAACAUCAACUACAAAUAUUUAAAGGGUGUGAAUGGUUACGGCGGUUGGGGCGGACACAACCGUCAAUGGAUCAAACCGCUUUUUAUUUAUCAUUCAUCAAUUAUAAUCCGUAGUGGUCCGGAAAAAAAAAUUGAAGAAAACUGCAGCGGACCAUUUGCGGACCGUUUUUUCAUACAAAUAAACUUAGUCCGCAACGGUUUAUUGUCCGCCCAAAAAAUGAGAGGGACUAAACCGCAGACAAAUUAGACCGCUUUGUCCGCUGCCUCCAUUCAUAAAGUUUUAGAAAGUUAGCGGACGAACAAUAUACAAAUGUCUUUU
rnacentral:sRNA from 1 species